rnacentral:siRNA from 1 species
UUGCCAAGCACUGGGUGUGGUC